UAGAUAAAUAUUAGAAGCUCAAAAUGUUGCUCGGGGUGUUGAACCCCUUGCGAGCUUAAACCCAUUACUUCCUGAGGCUCGGGAGAAAUUAUGUGGGGUGUUGAACCCUCUGUGAGUUUUGUUGAUUGACUCGUCAUUGCAGCCGAUCGAUGGUGCGCAUAAGUGACACCGUUAGCUCAGAGUGCGGCCACGGGUGUUGAACUCUUAGCGCGCUUGCACCAAUUGCUUUUUGUUGUUGAGCUUCACGCAUGACGUUGACGGAUGUUGCGAGCUUAAGGCUAACGGGGUGUUGAACCCCUUGCGAUUUGAUGCCAAACGCUUCCUCGCCGCAGUCGAAUGGCGGCUCGUCAGGUGUGCCGUCUUGAGCUUGUUGUUCGUCCCAAGGGUAUUGAACCCCUAGCGAGGGUUACGACAGUUGCUUCAUUGUCAUUGAAGUGUGGAAGUCGACGCGGGACCCUAUGGAGAAAAACGCAUCUAGUGCCAACCCAUUGACCAAAUCUGUAGCAUUAUCAUCUUUUUUUUUUACCUGCCUCAACUGAUUGAUCCGGCCAGCUGCUGAUCCUAUCCACCCACCUGCUCCUUCCUACUCUGCUUCCUUCUGAUCUUCUGCCCCUGAGCUUUAUCCUCUCUUCACUCCCUACUCUGCUUCCUCCCCCGUUUCUGGCCCCCAAGCUCUCUCCUCCUGUACUGGAGGUCGGGCUUGGCCGUGCGGCAACGCGGGGUGCAGGAAAUCAGCAGGCGGUCUGUGAGGCAAGGUGGGAGCGGACAAAUUGGUGGUGGAGGCAUGCGUCGCGACGGCCGGGGAGCAGCCGCGUGGGGCUGCAGCGGCCGGGAGUUGAGGCUCCGCGAGCAAGCGAGGUGGUGCCUGAGAUGGGGAAGGAGAAUGACAAAGGUGCAGUAGCAGGGAGAGACGGGCCAGGGCGCGACAACCUGCAAGGCGGAGCCCCCGAGGGCGGGUGCAGCGCUGGAGGUAGUUCGGGUCGGCGUAGAAGCUUGAAGAGGCACAGUGGUGCGCGGCGGGACGAGCUCCGGCUUAGAAGACGCCUCGGCACGGGAUGCUGAUGGGCCAGGCGCGGCGGCGCGGGGGAGACUCGGAGAUGCUCGGACGCGCGGCGAGACGAACUCUAGCGACGCCCCGGCGUGGAACGGCGCCGGUCCAGGCGCGGCGGCGCGGGGAGGCUCGGAGGGGCUCGGGCGCGCGGUUGCCUGGCAAGGAGCGCAGGCUAGACGGACUCUUGAGCGUUGGGAUGGCGAUGUGCGACAUUGGACUGUGCAUGCGGAUGGUAGCACGGAGACGCAGGACCUUCCGCUCUGGUUGAGGAGAGCUCAGCUCGUGAAGGCCGCCACCAAGACAGGCUGCAAGUUAUACAGCGUCGAGGACGUCCAUUUGUGGAGAAGCUGUAGACGCGCCUUCGUGUGUGGGUCGCUCCAACAGUUGGAGCUAGCUGCCACCGAUGUGGCACUGCGGACUGCCGUGGCAGGGGAUCCUGACGUAUGGAUGGUCUUUACUGUGCAUUAGGCAGCCACUGAUCGAUGCUAUCACGUGGUGGGCUGAUCUUGUUUGUGUGCUGCAAGAAGAUAUCACGUCUGGCUUGUUUGUACGUACAAACACGAGCCCCUUGCGUCGACCCUGCUGCGAGAUGGCUUUGGUGUUCGCGGACACGUUGAAGUUUCUCCGCAUCGGAUGGGUUGUUUCUCGACCUCGCCGUCGAGUAUCUUCGACAAGCGCGUCGGUGUGAUACUUCACGACAUGGGAUACCUUCGUGGAGUUCCCUUGGCGGCUCGGCGCACGCGGCCUGGUUGCUUCUCGACACGGGAGGUCACCAUGGAGUUUCUACAACCACCGCGAAGACGAGCCGAGUUGACACGAUAUGGCGCUUUCCGGAUGGCUUCUCGACAUGUGGGACGUGGAGACGUGGCAUCUUCGACGUGCAUAGAGGACUUGGUUGUCACCGCGUGAUGUCUUCGUUACUAAUUCGGUGAAGUGUGGUAGAAGUCCUCUUCAAAGGAUUUUCUUGCUCGUCGAUCGUCGACGAGGAUGCCCUGCUCGCAUGCUAUUUUCGUGAGGUAUCAUUGAAGGUAGACUUAUAUGGAGUGUUACUAUUUCAUGACAUAGCCACUUAUAUGAAGUGUUACUAUUUCAUGACAUAGCUUAUUGUGCUGAUACCUACGGACGGCGCCAACUGUUGGCGGGUUAAACCCGAACAGUAAACUUGUAGCACACUGGUUUGGACACUUGGCUCAACGAGGUGUGCAUACGGGGAAACGAGUUUCACUCCAAUA